UUAUUUUGUUUUGGUUUAUAUUACAUUCUUUGACUUGGUGUUUAAAAAGGGUGAAAACCUCACUGCCGAAACCUAAUAGAGCGGUUAAGCUCGUUCGAAAUCUCAUUAGUUCAGUUUGUAGUUUGAUGCACAAUGGGUUGGAGAGUGGAGGUCAGGCCUUCGCAGUGAAGCAAAGCACCCUAAAAUUCACUAAUGAUCCUUCCGCAGGUUCACCUACGGAAA
rnacentral:misc_RNA from 1 species